GUUAUAUCAACUAAUAUAUUACUAGGGUUUGCAAUAGAAGGUUCAUAAUUUUAUUUCUCAACAUCCUCUCUCUACUGAAUAAGUCGAUAGUGAUGAGAUUCCAUAAUAACAGUCUAGUUCAUGUUCUUCUUUGGAUGAUCAACACUCAUGUCCCUCUUUGGUGUUCAUCGUUGCUUCUCGUCUUGUAGAAAUUCAAUGGUCUUAAAGAAGAAAGAUGAAAUAUAAAUCAUGCUCACAAGUAUUUCAUUACUCUAUAAAUAAUUAUGUCCAUAAAUAUACUAUAAAGGUGAUCUUAUCUUUUUUCAACUAAACUCAUUAUAUAUAUUGAAUUGCUGGAAGAAUUUUUCUUUUGUAGGGUAAAUAAUUUACAAGUAAAUUAAGAUUGAAAUGAUUUGAGUAACACAUAGUUCUAUCUCCACCAUUACGGUUUUGUAAUUA